UACGUAGGGGGCAAGCGUUGUCCGGAUUUAUUGGGCGUAAAGCGCGUGUAGGCGGCCCACUAAGUCUGAUGUGAAAGCCCGGGGCUCACCCCCGGAAGUGCAUUGGAAACUGGUGGACUCGAGUCCCGGAGAGGAGAGUGGAAUUCCUGGUGUAGCGGUGAAAUGCGUAGAUAUCAGGAGGAACACCGGUGGCGAAGGCGGCUCUCUGGACGGUGACUGACGCUGAGACGCGAAAGCGUGGGGAGCAAACAGG
rnacentral:rRNA from 1 species